UGCAAGUCGAGGGGCAGCAUAGAACUUCGGUUCUGAUGGCGACCGGCGAACGGGUGAGUAACGCGUACACAACCUACCUUCAAGUGGGGCAUAGCCUCGGGAAACUGAGAUUAAUACCCCAUAGUAUUACCUUUAAUAUUUAUUGGUAAUUAAAGCUCCGGCGCUUGGAGAUGGGUGUGCGUCUGAUUAGGUAGUUGGUAGGGUAAAGGCCUACCAAGCCGACGAUCAGUAGGGGGCGUGAGAGCGUGGACCCCCACACGGGUACUGAGACACGGACCCGACUCCUACGGGAGGCAGCAGUAAGGAAUAUUGGACAAUGGGCGAAAGCCUGAUCCAGCCAUCCCGCGUGCAGGAUGACGGCCCUAUGGGUUGUAAACUGCUUUUAUCAGGGAAGAAACCCUUGGAUUUAUCCGAGCUGACGUACCUGAAGAAUAAGCACCGGCUAACUCCGUGCCGCAGCCGCGGUAAUACGAGGUGCAAGCGUUAUCCGGAAUCACUGGGUUUAAAGGGUGCGUAGCGGCGUUAUAAGUCAGAAGUGAAAGCCCCCAGCUUAACUGGGGAUUGCUUUUGAUACUGUAGUGCUUGAAUCAUGUUG
rnacentral:rRNA from 1 species